rnacentral:rRNA from 1 species
AGCGAACGCUGGCGGCAGGCCUAACACAUGCAAGUCGAGCGCCCCGCAAGGGGAGCGGCAGACGGGAGAGUAACACGUGGGAACGUACCCUUUGGUUCGGAACAACCCAGGGAAACUUGGGCUAAUACCGAAUAAGCCCUUACGGGGAAAGAUUUAUCGCCGAAGGAUCGGCCCGCGUCUGAUUAGCUAGUUGGUGGGGUAACGGCUCACCAAGGCGACGAUCAGUAGCUGGGCUGAGAGGAUGAUCAGCCUCACUGGGACUGAGACACGGCCCAGACUCCUACGGGAGGCAGCAGUGGGGAAUAUUGGACAAUGGGCGCAAGCCUGAUCCAGCCAUGCCGCGUGGGUGAUGAAGGCCCUAGGGUUGUAAAGCCCUUUCGGCGGGGAAGAUAAUGACGGUACCCGCAGAAGAAGCCCCGGCUAACUUCGUGCCAGCCGCCGCAGUAA